ACACCUCAACCCCUCAUGGUUUACCAUGAUGGGCUUGGACUUUGGGGGUCUUGCUGGAUUAUAGUCAGCUCCCCUUAAAUGAAUCAGCUUGCCAGUGUUUGGUGGCAUCACAGGUGUGAUAAUUAUCUACGCUUGUGGUUUUUUACAUCAAGUAACCUUCAGAGAUGGGGGUUCACUGGGGCUCACAAAAGGUGUCUCUCCUCUGUGAGGAACAGCUCUUUGAAC
rnacentral:misc_RNA from 1 species